rnacentral:rRNA from 1 species
CCUACGGGUGGCAGCAGUGAGGAAUAUUGGUCAAUGGACGCAAGUCUGAACCAGCCAUGCCGCGUGCAGGAUGACUGCCCUAUGGGUUGUAAACUUCUUUUAUACAAGGAUAAACUGAGAUACGCGUACCUUUCUGUAUGUACCUUACGAAUAAGGAUCGGCUAACUCCGUGCCAGCAGCCGCGGUAAUACGGAGGAUCCGAGCGUUAUCCGGAUUUAUUGGGUUUAAAGGGUGCGUAGACGGGUGGAUAAGUCAGUUGUGAAAGCCUGCGGCUCAACUUUGGAAUUGCAAUUGAUACUGGCAGGCUAGAGUGUAGUUGCGGUAGGCGGAAUGCAUGGUGUAGCGGUGAAAUGCUUAGAGAUCACAAAGAACACCGAUUGCGAAGGCAGCUUACCAAGCUGCGUCUGACGUUGAGGCACGAAAGUGUGGGGAGCAAACAGGAUUAGAUACCCGAGUAGUC